UACGUAGGGUGCAAGCGUUAAUCGGAAUUACUGGGCGUAAAGCGUGCGCAGGCGGUCCGUUAAGACAGAUGUGAAAUCCCCGGGCUUAACCUGGGAACUGCAUUUGUGACUGGCGGACUCGAGUAUGGCAGAGGGGGGUAGAAUUCCACGCGUAGCAGUGAAAUGCGUAGAGAUGUGGAGGAAUACCGAUGGCGAAGGCAGCCCCCUGGGCCAAUACUGACGCUCAUGCACGAAAGCGUGGGGAGCGAACAGG
rnacentral:rRNA from 1 species